GACCUCGAAUAUCGACGUCAUAAACACCAAAGUUGAUCGUGUUUAUGACGUCGAAUAUCGACGUCAUAAACACCAAAGUUGUUCGUGUUUAUGACGUCGAAUAUCGACGUCAUAAACACCAAAGUUGAUCGUGUUUGACCUCGAAUAUCGACGUCAUAAACAUCAAAGUUGAUCGUGUUUAUGACGUCGAAUAUCGACGUCAUAAACACCAAAGUUGAUCGUGUUUAUGACGUCGAAUAUCGACGUC